UAAUUUCUUCCUGCUGCAUCCUUGUGCAGCACAGACUGAACCUCGCUCAGUGGUACUGGAUAUUAGUUCCUGCUUUCUUCCCAGUUUGCUGCUGCAGUAGCAGAGAGUUGGCAGAGGGCCUUCUGUAUCACAUUUGAUCUGUUGACACUUGCAGCAGUGCUGGACUCUAACACUGUAGGAGUUUCCAUCUGGAGAAAUAUGGUAGCCCUUCCUGCCUCCUCAUUCCACUCCCUACGGAAAACCUCCCUUUUGUUUUCCCAAAUUCUGGGCCAAAUAAAAUAUACCAAAAUAACAUUGGAGACACAGAAGGAAUCUCUUGCCUCAAACUUGGCCUCAGAGCAAUACAUGCAACCAUUAGUUCUCUCACAAGUGAAGUCAUGUGGGUGGAAUCCAGGCAGGGUUUCACCAGCAGGGACUGUAGGUUUGGCCUGGCUGCUCUGCAAACAGGUACCCCCUUGUUUGUGGUGGCCAGAAUGACCACUUACUCUGUUUUCAUGCCAGGAGAAUCCAGCAUUAUACUUUUCAGCUGGUUAAUUUAAAACUUUCUAGGAAAGACAGGGACAGAAAGUCUUGAACUGUGGUGGUGUACCUGCCUGCUGGCCAACAUGCUCUGACAUUUCAGUCUUGCACUGAGAAGAGGCAGGAAAGCAAUACUUUCAUCAGAGUUAUUAGAGUUCCUGCCUCAUUGCUGAAGCUUUUUAUUAUUUCAGCUAUAUUCUCCUGAGUAAUCAUGUAAUUCUGCUGCACUCAUUUAAUGUAUUCAACACCUGACACCUGAGCCAGAUGUUGACUUUCUGUAGCAUAACCCAUCUGCACAAAGGCACCAGUAUUAUCCUGUCUGUGCAGAGCACAGCUCUAUUAUAGGGAGCCCCUUACCUGUGAGACAGCCAGCUUUGCACAGAGAUAUUACAGAGCCUCCUUUCUUACUCAGGGUUCCUCAGUGUCAUUCCAGGCUCAAGCACUACACAAUGAAAGAAUCUGGGGCUUGCUGUAGAGCUGAUGAUGUAGUAUGGUAUUCUUCUUUACUUGAAAAUAAGGUAUAGGCUGAGAAUGGGGUCACCCGCUGGUUGUGGACACUUCUGGGAUACAUGGCCUGAAAGACCAAAAAGGAUCUUCACCACAGCCUGACCAGACACCUGUUUAACCUCUGCUGUAGAAUGACACCUGCUCUCCUCUUCUAAAUGUGAUAGGCCUAACUGGCUGAACCACAUUAGAAGUGUAGAGGUAUUCAGCACCUAAACAAGGCCCUCUGCAACUUGUCUCCAGCCUGUCAUGGAGAAUGUCAAGUCAUCUAGCACAGGCAGCAAGCUAAUUUAUAUCAACAGAAGUUCUCAGCCUCCAUUUUCUCCUCCUUUCUCUACAUUCCUCAUCUGGUCCCGGUCUACUGUUUUCAGAUGCAAAUUGCUUAUCAAAAUGUAUAUAUCAAAUGUUUUAUCUUAGAAUGAAGCUCUCCCUAAUGGUCUAGCAGCUUCUCAGCAGCAGCAUUAUUUGACAGAUGUUCAGAAAAUAACUUUAUGUCUCUAGCUAGGCUUUCACACUUGACUAUAAUGUGCUCUUACCUUUAUAUGGAAACACGUCAGUGCUGACAAUGAGACCCUUAUUCAUGGAUAUAGCAGACACUGCAAUUGCCUCUAGAUCGCAGCAAUUCAUGAAGUGUGCUCUGGGUGUCUGCAGAGAAUUCAAGGUAACAAUUGUAUGUAUGUUCAUAGGCUCAUUGGUUAAGUAACAAGAAGAAUAAUGUUAUUUUAAAAAAUCAAAUAAUAAAAUAGUCCACUUUUCCUGCUACACAAGUCCUCCUCCUCUUACUUAACUCCCUCUCAUAUGAAAUCCAGGUUUCCUCAAUUAAUUCCUGACAAACAGCUUUGCUCUGGCUUUUGUGCCUAUGCUCUGCAUUCCUUAGAUUUUUCUUAUAGAUAUUAUAACUGAAAUUUUUCCCUUGUUUUGCUUCUUUUUGUCACAUUCCCUUGCUCUUGCAUCCAGCUCCUCCUGGUUAACUGGUUCUCCACCUCUGUCUGCCUUUCCAUCCUGCCUUCCCACCUUGGGUAUCACCACCACCUGCCCUCUGUUCUGAGCCUGCAAAGCCUCCAUCAGAGGAGACCUUUGAGAACAGGUUAGACUCACAUUUACCAGAAAUAGCAUAAGUACAGUUCAUUCUGCCUUUGGGCAGGAAACCAAUUAAAGGACUUACUGAGGCCCCUUCCAGACCUGCGUCUUUCUGAUUCUAUUAUCUUUUGCAUUUGUAGGAGAGCAGUAAUGGAGCCACACUUCUUGGCACAAACAUUUCCAAGAGAUUGUUAUCUUGCACUCUUGGGCUUGCAGCUGGAGAUCCCCUUUUGGCUGCCUGCAGGGGAGCACAGGCUGCAGCCAGUGCCAGGGCUCAGGCUUGCCAUUUUGGCUUUGGAAAUGACUUAAAUAUCUGAGCCUCUUGUUUCCAUAAGGUUAUCAAAUUACCUUCUUUUUAAGUUAUUCUAUAUUUUACAAAUACAAUGACCAUAGAUACUUAUUAAAAUAAGAGUUUUUUCUCAUUCUGAUUAUAUUUGUAUUUAUCUUUGCAGAUAAUUCUGCAGAUCACGCAGGCAGCACACAAUGCUCCACAGUACAUCCUGAAACCAUUUGGAGUAUAGCUACUCUUUCAAUCAGCUGAUUAAUUUGCUGUCAGUGUGCAGGUAGGAUAUCCCAGUUAAGAAAUUCAGCUCUUUCAAAAUUAUUAAUUUUCUCUUGUAUUAAAUUCCUUGGUAAAUAGCUUUAUAAAGAGCAAAAAAAAAAAAUCUUUACUGCACAUACAAACAUUCGAGAAUGAAUGCCCGAUUAUACCCGUCCAGCUGCAAAUUACUGUUAUCUGUUCAGAACAAUUAGUUUAUUAUCCAUCAUCUUAAAACCUGAUACCAGCCCAUCAUCUUGGAGCCUGAAGUAUAAAGCCUUUCAUUAACUUCCUCAUACUUUGGAUCAGCCUGAGAAAACAGCUCAGUGUUCCAGCAUCCUUCUCCAUAGGGUUGCUCAUUAUCAGCUAUCAGCUUUUGUGCUAACAGUUCCACAUUGAGCUCAAAGAAGAAGCCAGAGUGUUUGCCUGUGGUUUUCUAUGAUUUUAAGCGCUUUGGACUGAACUUACAUCAAUAUUGUUACUGGUGUACUUAAAAUAAUAGUCGAAAGAAUAGAUGACUGGAAAAAGGUGAGGUGGUUUGGGGAGGAGGAGGAAAUACCAAUGCUGCUGGAAAAACAACUUUUUUUAAAAAAACAGUGUUUCAGUGAGGCAGGUUUUACAACAAGCACCACUGACUUCUGUGGAGUUGUUCCUAAAUUGUACUGAAAGAACUGAGGAAAGAGCAGAAAUUUUAUAGAGGUAUGAAGCAGUUAAAAUAUACAAAACACUUCAAACAAAAUGGAUCUUUGAAACAAUCAGAAAUUCUCAGAACUCUGGUACAGACAGUCCAAAGCUCAAAGGCUUUCAGGCUUGUGUAACCCUCUGAAGUAAAUCCAUGCAGCUCACUGGGUAGAGAACUCAUAAAAAGCAUUUUCAAAAUCAAAGGCCUGACUACUAUAUAAUUGGAAAAUUAGGCUGUCCUUGUGCUGUUUGCCAGUUUUCAGUCACCUAUCAAUUACAACAUGAUGUGUACUUGUGGGUCAUAGCAAUUAAUUUAAUUGCUUUCUGCCUAUUCCUUGAAAGUACUCCUGGCUAGCUGUUAGUCUGAAAGGGAAUUUCUAAGUGCAAAACAUUAUUUGUUUUCUCAGUUGUGCUCUAUAUUGUUUCCUUACAUUUCUAUGGUUCCCUUUUCUCAUUGUUUUUAUUAUCCUUUGGAUCUCUGUUCUGCUAGAGCACAGAAGCACCUCAGACAGAUACAGUAAGGCAUGGACCAAAAAAUCCUGAAAAUAAAGUCUUGUGAUGUGAGU